AGUUCUACGUCAACGAGAACACCUUCAAGGAGCGGCUCAAGCUGUUCUUCAUCAAAAACCAAAGAUCGACUCCCUGCCCCGUUCCCAGCCAGAGCUUGGC
rnacentral:sRNA from 1 species